GGCGGUGUAGCUUAGUGGUAGAGCGCAUGCUUCACACGCAUGAGGUCCUGAGUUCAAUUCCCAGUACCUCUA